GACGAACGCUGGCGGCGUGCUUAACACAUGCAAGUCGAACGGAAAGGCCCUGCUUGCAGGGUGCUCGAGUGGCGAACGGGUGAGUAACACGUGGGUGAUCUGCCCCUUACUUUGGGAUAAGCCUGGGAAACUGGGUCUAAUACUGGAUAGGACCAUGCUGUAGGUGGUGUGGUGGAAAGAUUAGUUUCGGUAAGGGAUGAGCUCGCGGCCUAUCAGCUUGUUGGUGGGGUAAUGGCCUACCAAGGCGUCGACGGGUAGCCGGCCUGAGAGGGUGGACGGCCACAUUGGGGCUGAGAUACGGCCCAGACUCCUACGGGAGGCAGCAGUGGGGAAGAUUGCACAAUGGUCGCAAGCCUGAUGCAGCGACGCCGCGUGGGGGAUGACGGCCUUCGGGUUGUAAACUCCUUUCAGCCAUGACGAAGCCCUUGUGGUGACGGUAGUGGUAGAAGAAGCACCGGCUAACUACGUG
rnacentral:rRNA from 1 species